rnacentral:lncRNA from 1 species
GAGGGGGAGGUGGAGAGUCAACAAGGAAAUAUUUCUUGAAAGAACAUUCUUACUGAGCUUAAGAUAUGAAAUGGAUUUCUUGAAGAGUUCUUAUCUGCUGAUGUCUGGAUUAUGGUCUUCGCCACAUCCAAGGGCAACACAGCACACCAAAACUGGAAUAAGGGUACCGAAAGAAUCACAAUUUGAAGAUACUACCGUAAUAAGAAUGUGAACAGGUGCAUUAUACAAGAGUGACAAACUGGGAAGAUGCAUACAGCUAUACCACUAAGGCCACCACUAAGAACCCCAACUCCCAAGUCAAUCAAGUUCUUGUGGCCUGAUGAAGCAGAGUUCAGUUGUAAAUGCAUCUGAUAGCGGACAUAUUCAUAUACGCUAAAAAAGACUGCAUUUCCAGUAGCUUCUCUUAACAAUGUUGUAAAACCUCCACGAAAAAUUCCUCUAACCUGAAAGAUUUUCCAUCAGCUAAGAGCAUUAUCACAAAUUAUGUCUGAAAAACAAGGUGCAGUAUUUCUUACCCCAUCCUCUUUUACAGUUUUAAUGGCACAAUCAAGAGGGCCGGCAUAUCUACUUGAUAUCGGUAUCAAAGAGUCUGUGCCUUGAACUUGCAUCCUACACUGGAAAAGGUCGGUGUAAUAAGCAUAAAAGGAGAAACAACUUUUCAAUAUAGAAACCGUCGAAGUCCUUUUACCUUCACUAGCUCUGAGGGGCAUAGAAUAAAACUGAUCACUGCUCCACCAGAAGCUGCAGAUGGAAUUAUGACAUGUGGUUGAGGCACAACACUUUGCACAUUUCCCUUCAAGUAUCAUUAAGAGUAAGCAGACUGUUGCACUAUAUAUAACAAAUGAUAUUCUUAAACAUUGAGAAUAAUCACUAAAGUAGUUGAUCCCAAACAUGUGGCUAACUAAGGCCAUUACAGAGAUCAUGGGCAAACAAUAACUGAAAAAUCUGUGUGCACUUCAUUUUCAUUUGUACCUGCAGCGACUGUUUCAUCUGGGAAUACAUGCCAAAAAGAAGCGAACUCUCAAAAGCUACCCCCACAAAAGAUGAUGUUGCCCCUCUGUAAAGUCCUUUUAUCUGUCAAUGACUCAAUUCUAGUCAGCACUCCUGGAUAAGAUGCAUGUGAUCUUCAAACACCACAACAAUUGACACCCUUUCGAAAAGCAAACAUGGGGCUACAUUGUCAUGUUAGAGAUAUAAAGCUCUGAUUCCUACACAAAGUUCAGGACCAUACAUACCCCUUCAGUCCUUAGUAUCCUCGCAGUACAAUGCAAGCCGUUCCGAUAUGUAAUCCCAUGGUCUACAGUGUUGUGCAUUUGCAUCUUCACCUAAUCAAGCAAGUGAAAAAACAAUGUUACACAGUUACACAUGGUACAAGUUCUUCAAGUUCAAACCAUUCUCAGUUCACAAAGCAAUCUAAUCAGCUGUUAGAAGUAAACAAUCUCCUACUGUCAUCGAUCAAAACCAGACAAUGACAAAAAGAUGCUCACAUUUAAAGCAAAGUGCUACUACAAUCAUCCUCACGUAAACCAAUCCAACACUUCCACAUCAAAAUUACGACUACCCAGAUUCGAAAGAACUAAACUUUAUCGACUACACACCAGAAAAUGAGAUAAAGAACCAAACCCAUGAAAGCAAACUUCACUAUCUUUCGAAACCUGAGUGAAAGUUGAGCAAAUUGAACAGUAAAGUUGUUACCUUGACGGUGUCAAAUGGAUGGCCGGUGCUGACAGUGGCAACGCCGGCGAGCAAUCCGGCCACGUAUUCCUUGUAGCCGGAGCUAUCCCGCAUCUUUGCUUCUGUGUUACUGGGCAAGUUUCAUGGUGGUCUCUGAAAUUGUGGUGAAAUAGCAAAGACCAUUAGGGAGAGGUCAGAGCCCAGAGGCCUAUUUUAGGUGUCAAAUUUGGUCUUGAUUAUAGUAAAGGUGCCCUCGUAAAAGUAGCACUAUGUUAUUGGAUUACAUGCCGACUCUCCCAAUUUGUGUUCAGUGUCAUAUUAUUUUGGCAUUGCUUUACCUCAUUUGGCUGCUUCUUUCAUGGUGUGCUAGAUUGUUACAAGGAUGCACUAGAUUGUUACAGGUUGUGAGAAAUUGUUGAUUGGAGCAAAUGGAAGAGUCGAAGGAAAUUAUUAGCUAUCGUAUGCCAAAAUAUGGGCGCAUGGGAAAGAUCCCUUUAGCAAAAUUAAGGGAAAAAGAAAAAAUAUAUAGUUAUUUGGGACAGACUACAGAGUAGCAUUAUUCACCCAUGCACAAUGCUUUCCCGUAAAGUUACAGAACAAGAGAAAAUUAUACUGCUAACUAUGGAUAUAUCAGCCAAUUUCUGGAGUAUGUGAAGCAGAGCUAUGAAAUCUAUCUAAUCUCGGUAUUUCUAGGAAAUUGCAGCAAGCCUGUUGGUCAUAACUUGCUAGGAACAAUGUCAUUCAAUAUUCUUCCAGCUCUAUGAAGCUGUGUUGGCUUUGCAAACACAUCUUGUCUUUCAGCUAAAAAUUUUGCAAAGCGAGAACCUUUCCCUUCUUUGUCGCGAUCAUUUGGUAAUGACUCUUGCAUAUGAGGCAAAGGAGGGGGCUUUGGAGACAGAUGCGGCAUCAAUGCCCAUACAGAAGAAAGAUGUUCGUUUGGUUGGUCGAGAACCUGAAGAAGUGAAAGAUCUUGCAUGUCUGGGGAAAAAACCAAAGCUGUCAGAUCGAAAUAAUACAAUGUCGCAGUGAAUGUUUGUAUUACUUUAAGGAAAAAUCAUCCAGAUAAAAACCUAAUUAAGCUAACAAAACUUUUAUAGCUAAAUAACCUUUUGAAAACUUGAAAAUUAGCAGGAGAGCUGCACAUGGAAUGCUGAAGUUCAGAUGUGGUAUAACUGUUCCUCCACCAUGUCUAGCAUUGCUGUGACAAGAACAUACCUCAUUAAAUACAGAACUUCUAUCCAUAACGAGUGAGCAAUAUAAAUUUAAUGAAGGAACCCAGUGGCGUAGCCAGAAACUACCACUAGAAGGGUCAAAGUAUAAACAAGAAUAUUAAACGAAUCGAAUAAUCUAAUUGAAUAACAUAAAAAUGUAUGAAUUAUUACAUAAAUACUUAAAAAAGACAAAGUAACAAAUCUCCCUAAAAUAAUUAUGAUUAGCCACGAUGAUUCAUAUUUUGAAAUCUUUUCGUGAUGAUUUCAUUAUCAACACCAUCAAAUAUGUAUUUUUUUUUAUAUAAUAUCUCUUGAGAAAAGCUUUCAUAUUUUAAGUGAUAAAUUAUGAAGGUUUUGACUAAAGAAAUUACGGUAGAGAAAUUUAGAGAGAAUGAUAAGAGACAAACAAAUUGUAGAAGCUUGAAUAUAUAUAUAGACGUAAAUAUAUCAUGAAUUGAUUAGGAUUGUACAUUGUGUGAUUAGCAAAUCUAUCCAAAUUAGGACAGCAGAAAACUUGUCUACUAUAUUAAUUGGCAAUAUAUUUUCAAAAAUAAAAUAAUAUAGGGAUAAAAGCUUUUUUAACGUCUCAAGACAAGAUAUAUAUUUAAAAGAUUAAAAAAACAUGGGAAUAGAAGUUUUUUUACGUAUGGAUGAGGGGUGUCAGAAAGAGGCAAGUUUUGGUCGACAGUAUAUUUCCCCAGCCACUAAGAACUCAACUUGAAAUGUGAGAGGGUUCAAUUGAACCCCCUCGCCCCAUAGUGGCUACGCCACUAAAGGAACCAUAGAUCUGAUUUGAUGAAAAUGAUGCAAAAAAGCAGUUCAACAAUAUCAUCACGCAGAACAGGAUUUCACCAAACAUUAGCAUAAUCAUACCAAACAUGGGGGAACUUUGGACCAAGGCAACAACAGACUCGGUUUUUAUUUAUUUAUUUCUUUAUUUAUUAUUAUUUAUUUAUUUUUGUAAAAGGGUCUUGGAACCAGCCUAGCUGGAUCAACAAUGACAAGAGACUUGUAUCAGUUCUAGUGAGAAAUCAAAAUUUUUCAAUGGCAGCUUCUUGGUACGACUUUUUUUGGAAGUUCACCAUCAUAAAGAGGCAUUGCAAACUUAGAUAUUUGGCAUACCUUGUAACAAGCCCAAUCAUAUGACCAUCUGAAUUUACAACAGCACCACCACUACCACCUGGAUGGACAGCUGCUGUUGUUUCCAGCAUCACAGGAGAAUUCCCCAGAGUAUGUCCUGGUUGACUGGGUUGAUGUGAGGGUAGAAACUUUGAUUUGACAACUUUUGCCACCACACCAGCACAUAUUGAUGGGGAAAAGCCUAAUGCAGUACAACCCAAACAGAAUAUGAAACAUGAGGAAUUUUACCAAAGAAAAUACAUAAUAAAGCGAAUAUUUCAGAACUAUAUUGCAUCUUUUACUACUGGUAACGCAGUAGUGUCAGAAAAACCUCAAACUUAAGAGCAUCAAAUCUACUCAAAGAUUUAACUGGACAAUGCAUCUGACAUCGAAGUUUUCUAAUUCAGUUUUAAAAAUGUCAUGCUACUUACACUUGUAUCACUCAAUUUUCCACAAUAAUAAUAUAUGUAAGGAUAAUUAAGCAAGGCUCACCACAUCUGGGUCCAAACAGUCCAUGUCCAAUAACGUAUGCCUUUGAUCCUAAAGAUGGAGAUGAAAAGUCCAUGACAACUGGAGAAAGUUGAUCUGGGAUGUAUUUGAUCUGUAACAAGGCAACAUCUAAAGGUCCUUUACAAACAUAUACUACUUUGGCGUCACACCAAAUCCAAGGGUCCGUAUGAUCCAGGCGGACACGUAUAUUUCUAUGGCCUUUGUAAGAUGAGUUCCGUGCUCCAUGUUCAUUGCCAACUGAGGGAUAUCCAUUCUUGUGAAGCCCUGGCAGAAAGCCUUCAAUCUUCUGCUCACCAUCAACUCCAUUACACCCUGGAGAUGCCGAUCCGUUAGAUAGGACGGGAGGAGCAUCAGCAAUGUAUCCAUCAGUCACAGUCCUUUUACCAAAUCUCCAUGGUUCUAUGAGGUGAGCAUUUGUGAGUAUCAGGCCUUGCUUGUUGAGGAAAACACCAGAUGCCCAUACUCCAUCAUCUAUGGUUAUAAGACAAACAGAAGCUAUAGCCUUCUCAACAGCUGAAGUGGAGCAACUAGUAGAAAGAUGCUCCUGAAUAUGCGUUAUGGGUCCAUUUGAGCCGUCGGUGUCUGCUAAAAAUGCUUUCCCUACAGCAUUUAAGUUUCCCUUGUCAUAAUAAAUCCCUUUUUCUGCAUAAUGAGGCUCCUUCUGCAGCAAGUCACUGCAAGCAGUUGCAAUGGCUUCCCACGAAAUUACCAGCUGUUACCCAAGACUAAAGCUUUGGAUGACAAGUUAACUAGAAAAAUUUAAAAGACGAUACCAUGUCAAAUAGGAAAUGUUCUAAAGUUACCUGAACUUCAGCACCACUAGUCUUCUGCCUCAAUGGUCUAAUCAACAUACCAAUAAGUUGUGCAUUCUCGCUCAAAACUGGACCACCUUCCGCUCCUGAUAGGAUCAGAAUUGAUAGGGAAUCAGAGACCAGUGGCAUGAAAAGAACAAUGGAAACUCUUAGAAGUAAUGUUCGCACCAGGAAGACACCGUAUGUCGGCCAUCAGCAAUGGAGUAAUAGACGAAUUAGGAGGAUAGCAGUUGGCGAUGGACCCCACUGAUAUGCUGAAAUAGGAAGCUAGUAUUUAGAUGGAGCAUCAAUAGGAAUUUUACUUCAAAGCACAAUCAGAAAGAAAGCAUAAAUCAUAUCAACCCAACCGGUAGCCAUAAUAUGUACUUGGACAGGAAGAUAAGUCACCUGUUAAAGAAGUGCACAGGUGACAGGAUACCAAAAGGAGAACCCACUGCUACAAGAAAGUCUCCCCUUUUAUUGGAGGGCGAUAUGGUUAUAUUUGGCACAUCCUGAACAGAAAUAUAUUACCAAUCAGUUUCAGGUAUAUUAUUCAAUAUCUUUGAGUUCUGGGAUAUCAAAAUAUUGGAUGCUAAAAUGAAGGGUGAGAGCAUAAAUUUACCUUAGGAAACAAGGAUACUACAAGAAUUGCGAUUCUUGUAACUGACUUUCCUGUACCACUUGCGUUCCCCAAUUCUCUAGCAGCAAAAUUUACCUGGGUAUGCAAGAAAAACUAUAAUUUCACAAAAUAUUUCCUUUAAACUACAAGAUAUUGAAAGGAUCUAUAUCAUGUUAACUUUCAAAAUUCCCCUAAACCAAACACAAAAGAUUGCUGCUCCAUUCGUGAACUUUUCUAUAGGGUUUUCAAUUGCUUGAUUUCCGGUCAUAGGUCAUAUCUAAAAUAUAUAUGCCCAUGACGAGAACUUUUAAAUGAAUUACAAAAAAAAAACAUCUAGUACCUGUGUCUGAAUAACAUCUGUAACUGGCUGAGGAUUAUUAUGUGAGGCUAAAGACCAACCAACCUCCCAUCCAUGCUCUGGGGAGCUUAUAGAAGCAUCAAUAAGAGAUUGGAGUGCAACAGCAGAUGCAGGAAUGUCAAUCUGUACAGGGCAGCAGUUAAAUCAACAUAGGAAACCAUGUGUAAUGUAUCGUGUGCCCAAAAAAAAAACUGUACUCUACUGUCAAGCGAUGACAAGAAACUUAUAUCAAUGAUGCUAUAUAUCGUCAAUAACCAACUGUUGAGAUUGGCAGUGAGACUGCAGAAUUCUCUCACAUCAGUCAUAAAGUUGUGGCUGUGUAUCAAAGAACAUUAUUGUGACAAGUUCUACUUUUCCAUUACAAAGUAACUGUAUCACUGACCCUCAAAAGUUGCCCACUCACGGUCAUGAUACGCGCACAACAUAUACACAAACAAACUAUAGUCAUGUAAGGCACAAUUAACUUAUAGUUAACUUAUAGUUGCCAUUGAACCAAGCUUUUUCUCUAGCUACUCUACACUGAAAUGGAUUCUAAUGUUCAGUAACAGCCAACCCAACAAUCGAGUAACAAAUUACCUACCAGGGUUAAAAGCUGCGCUGCAAACCAGCAUGGAGGUCCUUUCUCCGAGCCUUUCUCCAACAUCGGUUCAUCCUGCAAACGAAAGCACCCCUCAUAUAUAGUCAAACACUAAACCUCACUAAAACACCUUCAUUUCAAACUUCAAACAAAUCAAACAAUACAGGGUAUUGUGCUACACAGCUAUACCUCUGCCAUGACAUCAAUCUCAACCCCAGCAAUCAACUCAGGCCUGCCCUGCAAGGCACCAAUCAAGCAUAACCAAACUUAUCAAACACCAACACCAAUACAUAAUCAAACAAUUAAUCAACAUUACAUCACAACAAUCUCAACCUGGGCAAGGUUCUCCCUGUGCUGCAAAGACAGAAAGGGCUCAACAACCGAAGCAACAGUCACAACCAGAGCCGGUGACCGGUCACUCCCGCCGCCGGAAAGCUGCUUCGCCGCCUCACCGUCGUAAAGGGUUCCAGGCAACAACAUCCCGGAAGCUGAUAUAGUCGUCGUCCCAGAGCUACACACAAAAUGAUGAGUACAUCAAAAUCCAAAACUAGGGUUAGGUUUAAUUGCUCGUAGAGAAAUUGGGGGCUUACUUGUACUGGUGGAAAGCAUGGUUUCGCAUCUUGAGGCCUUUGGGGUCCUAAAUUGAAAAGGGCUUACGUAAUCAGUGAGCUGCUGAGGUCUGAGAGAAUUUAAAUUUUUCAGAGAAGGAUGAAGAGGACUACUUACAGGGCCUUUGACUCUGACCAUGACGGAGAAAUUCCGAGCGAAAUCGACGAUUUCCGGUAAGCCCAUGGUGGGUCUGAGGGUCCGAUUCCCAAGACGAAGAGAAGCUCAGAUUAACAGUCUCAGUGGUUUAUAUAUAGGUUUGAGGGAGAUGAGAAAAAACAAGGAAGACGAUUCUAUUUUACCGUUUACCCAUUGGUUAAAAAGUAGUUUUUGGAUUGUAGUUUGGAUCUGUUACCUAAUUGGGGUUAGUUUAAGUUAAUCUAAGUGGCUGUUAGUUACCCAUGCAGGACUUACCAUAGAUGAUUGCUUGACGGGUUAACCCUUGUUGCUCAUAAACCUUCACUGAAUCAACUACGGUUAACACCCAAUUGAGAUGAACAUCCAUCAUUUGGAACAUGUAUUUUGUGUUAGAGGAAUUGCAGUUUGUGGUGCAUGUACGAUACGUUUAACUGAUAUAUUAAAUUUAUAAAAGCAAUUAUUGAAAAUUUAUUAAAUUUAUCAGUUAUAGAAAAGACCGACACGAAUGCAACGUCACAUAUACAUCACUAGCCUAUUAUCUAUUUGUGUUUCUAAUUGUUUUACACAAAACCAUUAGCGGAAAACUUUGUAUUAGCCUUGUUUUGCAGAAAUUUGUUUGGCAAAUCUAUCUGCCUUAUCUUAAGAGACAUUUUUUUACGCGUGUUAGGCAUAUUACGUUGUUUGCGCUCGUAAACAAUAAGUUUCUAGCUAGAUGUUUCUUAUGUAUGUUGAUUAAGGCAACACAAAAACGUAAUAAAAUGCCUUAUAUAAGAUUUUAUUUUGAGAUAUUAUAUACUAGGAGUACAGUUCAAAAGUAUUAGAAUUUAGAACCAAAUAGGCGACACACUAACUUUGAUUAGAUCUUUCCAAUACGAAUGACUCACCACUCUCAUUUUCUAUUUUCCAAUUUUAUUUUAUGAAUGAUAUCUCAUCCUAAGUGAAUAAUAGAUUGCACAUCCUAAAUUCUCAAAAAGGGAUCGCUUACAAACUACUUCAUUCUUCUCAUUUUCACAUCGUCAAUAUUGAUUCAUGCAUUUACAAGCACGAAAGACUAUUGACUCGCAACGGCUUUCAACAAGUAAUGUAUUUUCCUUUUUCCAUCUUAACUAAAUAUUAAACCAUUAAAAAAAAGAAAAAAUACCAAAUAUAUUAUCAAUCCACAGUAACUUAUACUGCUUAAUAACUCUUCACACAAGAAAACCACGGUAAAAUGGUAACAUGGUGAGUGAGAAAUCAUUUCAAGAAAUAACCAAAGUAUAUUAUCCAGGGUUAGUUCGGUAACUAACGUAGCUUUAACUCUCUUUAAAACGUAAAUCCCUCUCAUCAAAGCAAAUAUCCCAAGCAGAAUUAGUCACUGAAUUUACCAAAACAACCCCACAGCACGAAUCGUCUGCCUAUAUAUUUCUCCCCCUUCAGAGUCAAUAUUUAUAAAAUAAAAAAUAAAAAAAUUCGAAGAGAGAGAGAGAGCCUCUCUUCUUCUUCUUCUUCUCUCUACCCCUCCGCCUCUUCUCUUCUCUCUCAGACCACCACCGCAACCGCAACCACCGCCACCUCACUCUCUCUCUUUCUCUCUCCUCAGCUCUCGCAAUAGAGGACACGCGGCGGGCGCUCAUUCGCGGCUGGAUUUCCAGAGCAAUGCCGGCGCAGAAGCGUGGCUUCGAGGAGGCCGUCGAGGACGGUGAUGAUCCUGCUGCGAAACUCCACGAGAACGGCCACGAGGAGCCGCCGGAAGAAGAAGGUACGUGCUAUUUUACUAUAAUACCCUCGCUCCGAACUAAAUUUCCCCCCAACCACCGCAGCACACACACCACGUUCUCGUUUCUUCCUAUUCCUCCCUGAUUCUCUUUCUCUCUCUCACACUGCGACGUCGUUUUGGUUUUUCACUCAGAGUCCGAUCGGAGCCGGAGCCCGGAGCCGAGUGAGGACGAGAAGGACGACGAGAAAGACGAGUAAGCUUUUCGUAUUUUUGGCUUUCUGUUUUGGCUUUUCGUUUUUUCGUUUCGUCGUUGCACACCAGGUGUUGUUUGAUGCUUUGAAAACGCUGCCGUUUUGAUCUGCGUGGUUUUUGCUUGGCUUUGUAAUCGAGCGGCUCACCGGAGCUGUGUGGUGACGUGUGUGUACGCGGCUGAGUGAACUGGAAUCGUUGGCGUUGUGGAGAAGGAAGAAGAAGAGUGGUGGAGUUGGGAUUUGGGGUUUGCGAGCUGAGAUUGUUGCUGCGGUGAUGUAAUUCAAGGCUCGAUUUCGCCAUGCGUGCAUGGUUUGUUCGAGGCUCAAAGCAUGUUGCGUUCUGUGGCCGCUACAGAGACGCGUCCUCGUUUUCGGAGUUUCUGCUUGAAUUUGCGUUUGUUGCUGAAGCAAGUGGUGGGUUUAUAGCGAAGAAAUUGUCACCGACUACAUUGCUGGUGUUUAGCUAGUGAGUUUCUGGGUGCUGGUGUUUAGCUAGUGAGUUUUGGUUUGCUCAAGAUUUGAGAAAUCACGGUGGUCCGGUGAAAAGACCCAUCCAUCGGGGACAAAGAUGGAAUUUACAGUUGGUUCUACUCAGCUUGAAAGCUUUGUAGUUGUUCUGGGUUACCAUUAUGGUGCUACACGUUUUGCACGAUAAAAAUUCUGCUAGUUCACUCGUUUCAUGUGCUUUGCGAGAUUAAAUUAAACGAAGCGGCAUGCAAUGAUAUUGUCAUUUCUGGGUUUGAUAGUACUCCAAUAUGCAUGCUGAAUUGGGCGUGCUUGCGAAAUGCAACGGCUUAUGGUUGGGGUGGUACAAUAUGGAUGUACAGUAUGGUACACUGAUUAAAAAUUGAAAAGUCUCAUGGAAGUAGGCUUGUGAUUGAAAUCAAUGGUUUGAGCUGGCUAUUAAUUAUUUCCUUUUUCUGAUCUUGAGGUGGCGUAGAUUUUUUAUUUAAAAGAGGUUCUUAUGAAUUCUCUUUGUGCAUCAAACGUGAACUUCAAAUCUAUUUCAUUUUUAAUUUACCAGUAUUUAAAAACGUUAGUUAAGCAUUCAAAAAAAAAAANNNNNNNNNNNNNNNNNNNNAAAAAAGAAAAAAGAAAAAAAGAAAAGAAAAGGUAUUUGUCAUUGGCUACCAGCAUAAAAAUGAAAGUCAUUGAUAUAAGAAGGUUGAUAUUUUACAUUAUAGAGCAUCAUGAGGUGUUGCAUGCUUUUGUGGUUAGCUGUAUUGUAUGCUUUUGUGAUUAUGAACUGAUACACUUAGAAAUUUGAUGCAAGCCAUGAAGUCGUUAUUAUAUUUUGUUUUCAAUUUGCUAUAUGCUUUGACUGAAUUACUCUGUUUAAAUGCAGAGUCAGCUUUCAUAAUGAAAGCUCAUAACUUGUUAUAUUCACCUUUAUAUAAACUCAGCUCAGCUGCACAAACAGUUGACUGAGAAGAUUUAACAGCAGAAGUAAUUUCAUUAAAAAAAAAGGACUUCAUAUCGACUGAUCACGUCAGUUUAUUUAUAAGAAGCCUUAGAGCUUUUAUAUCCUUUCUUUUCUAUAACUGCUUACGGUAAAGAUUUGGAGCCUCUUUGACGGGUUGAUUCACUGAUUCUCUUGUUUCUGUGACUGUUGGGUGUUUGCACAUUUCUCACAUUUGUCUGUUCCGUAUACAUGUAUUACCUUAAGUCCUUCUCCAUGGGUAUCUUCAAUCUAGACCCAUGCUGAGGUGGUAUAAAUCGAUGUUUCAUAUCCAUGUAGAUUCAUGUUAAGAGAAUCAGUGAUAUAGAGCUUUGGUAUUCAAAAAUGCUUGACAUUAGAGUUUUCGUUUAAUAGUUUGCUUAUUAAAUGUGAUUAUGUAAACUCAUCUGUCCCUUUUACACCCAUGUGUUAUGGUAAUCGCCCUCCCAUAUGGUAUAGUUAAUAGUGAAGUGUGGGUGCAGGUUCGACUUUUAUUUGCUGUAGCCAUGUCUACAUAGUUUUCUUAUUAUUUGCUGCAAUAAGUACUUUUGUGCCAUACCUUCCCCCUACCUCUCUUAAAAUUAUUAUAAUUAGAAAAGUCAUUGACCCUUUUGUUUGUGUAGGGAUCAUUAGGAAAACAAGAACAGUGAUGGAAUGCCUGCACCGCUUCUGCAGGGAAUGCAUUGACAAGUCCAUGCGGCUUGGGUAUGUUAAUAUUUUUGUUUAAAAAAUAUGCCAGAAAUUUCAGCUGUCAAUAUCUCGUUCCCAUAGCUAGACUGUAUUAUCUCUUUCUGCAGGAACAAUGAAUGCCCUGCAUGCCGCACACAUUGUGCGAGUCGUCGCUCUUUGAGAGAUGACCCAAAGUAUGAUGCCUUAAUUGCAGCUAUAUAUCCAGAUAUUGACAAGUAUGAGGAAGAGGUACUAUGAUGUUGAUCUACUACAUCUGGGCUGUACAUUUUGUUUCUAAGCUACAUUUAAAAUGGCAGCACUGACUGUUUAACAUCUUAUGUAGGAAUUAGCUUUUCAUGAAGAAGAGAAGGCUCGCAAUAAGCAGGUGAAAGAUUUCAAGUGUUUGCUAUGCUUGCAAUGUUUUGCGAUUCUUACUGCCAAAUAAACCUUCUUUUUUUUUAAAAAAAAAAAAAAAAGAUAAAAGAAGCUGUUCUAUAUUUCUUGUGAAACUGAUGACAUUGAAAUUCAUUAUAUUUUUGUCUGUUGCCUUUUUUAAAAGGUAUUCUAGUGUUAUACUUCUUCCUCAUUCAGGUAUUAGGGUUCACCAAAUCUGCAUAUACACUUCUUUCUGUUUCCAUUUUGUUGCUUUAGGGCCUUGAUCAAAAUUUUAUUUAAACAGAUCCAAGCUUCCAUUGCCCAGACAUUUCGACGACAAUCCGAAGCACUUGGUAGGAAGCGAACUACAGCAAAAGCCACUGCCGCUGCAUUUAUGAGGAAAUCCCAAGGUAACUACAAAAAUUUGAGGCGGAGAAGGAAUAAUAAAAAUGCUGUUGAAAUUCAAGGAUCUGAUGAUAAUGAGGAGGCAAAUGGUAAUGAUGGAGGGAAAGAUUCAUCUUCUGAUGAGCGCACAGAACCAAGACCAAAAAGACCCAAAAGAUGGACAGGAGCUCGAUAUUAUCAGCGUUCACCAGCAACUGCGAAUGCAGAUGGUGAUUAUGAAAAUGAUUAUGAGGUAAAUAGAGAAGUUAUGGGUUCAUCUGUGGGGUUUGUUGGCAGUCCAGAAAGGCUUGCAUGGGGUAAAGGUGGCUUGCGUAGUCAUACAAGAUAUGGAAGUUCUAGUGGUGCCAAUGGUAAGAAUGCCAGGAGCCGCAUUUCUAAGUUGGUGGAUUAUCUCCGCAACUUGGAAGCUAAUGAUAAAGGGGUAAGUUUGAGUUUAGGCUGCAACAGUCUACUAUGAGUUUCCUUUUGACAUCUGAAAAUGGCAGACGGAAUUGACUGUCUGAAAUCCCAUAUUCUAUAUUACCAAAGACUAAUUUUAUUUUUUAAAUAGAUAUUUUAAGUUUUUGACACAAACUGCUCAGGUUAUGAGGCCAUUCUUCUGACACAAACUAUAUAUGAGUGUGUUUUUCAAAAAUUAUGCGGCAUUCUGCAUCUUAAUAGACAAUUGGAUCAAUGAUUUCACAUAGGUUUUUUUUUUUUUUUUUUGUCUUCAAAAUAUCAGUUGGAUAUCCACCUCCUACUGGUUUCUUUUGAUGAACAAAGAAUACCUAGUUUGCAGAGGCGGUAUCUUUGCUGCAGGCCCACCCUGUCAGUUGGACAACUAUGUCAGGUAACACCACCAAUCUUUCACUAACUGUGUUUUCAAUUGAUACCGUUUUUAAUUCUGCUAAGCCUCUAAUAUCUUACAGUAUGUUGCUGAGCAAACUGCACUGCAACCUGAUGAAGUGGAAAUAUACUUAAUAAAGGAAGUACAAGCCAAAGUUAGCCCAUCAGACCCUACAGAUGCUCUGGUUUCUACUUCUGGUGUUUUAGAUUCAAGCAAUAACACACUUCUUCUGUUAAGAGACGAUGAAUCAUUGGCAGAAGUUCAAGCGCGUCAUCUCACUCGUGGCCAUCUGGUGAGCACCUUUAUCUUCACUUUAGGAGGUUUGGACUUCAGGUUUUCAUAACUUCUAGAUCUGAUACUUGUCUUUAUGAUCAUGUUCUUCACUUUACCUCCCUUUUUCCAAUUCAUCAGUAAUCCCUUUUUCCAAUUCGCGCCCACACACUCACAUGUAUAUGUAUAUUCACACAACUACAUUCAACCUAGGUUGAUGAUCCCUUAAUGUGUGUCAUUCUGCAGCUUUUGGCAUAUCAGAAGAAGUGGAACUUAAACCGUGGCUGAAGACAAGUUUCUGGUAGCAAAUCUAUUUUAAUUUUUGACUAGAUAUAUAUAUAGCAAGCAUUAGGCAAUGGAGAGCCAUCAGGUCAGUCUUUGGAGCUCCCCAAGUACUCUUAGAACGGGCAACUUAGAAGCAGACAUCUUCUAAGCUUAUUACAACUGUUAAUUGUGUUAUAGGUUAUAAGUACCCGGGUCAGUUGUGAAAUUAAUCUAUUUAAUCUUAUGGCUGCCUUGUUUGACUAUCCCUUUUUGGCACUUUGCACCCAAGGCUCUACAAAAUCUCUCAUGGCAUCAUCCAAUGUUACCUAUUCACGUCGCAUAGAUUAAAUGUGUAUAAUCAAAAUUCACAAAUUACGGAUAUUAAAAAACUAAUCAUAUCUCAAUCCAGUAUAGAUUAGUUACAUCAUCAAUAAGACUUUGGCACUUCAUUUCAAGUUUCAGCUAUAAUUGCCCUAUAUUAUUAUGCUCGAAAAUUCUUGUACACACUGCAGUCAAUAGUGCAGUGAGGUGUAAAUGAACCGAACAUCUAAUAUGCAAGCUUAACAUUUUGUUUGAUCCUAUUCACGUGAUUAUGUAUAUAUGAAAACGCCGUCAACAACAUUACAAACUCAAAAAACUAGUGUAAGUGUUAUAAACACGGGACGUGAAAAUCCGAGAUCGAAGAAAUUAUGAGCGCUUAAUCUAAACGGAUCAAAAAUGAAAAAACUAUAGGAAAAAAUUGAGAGUUUCCCAUCCUCAUUCUAACUUUGCACCUCUAACUAGAUGACUUAAACGAUGCUACAAGUGUAUUUUGUAUUUUGAUACGUAAAAUUCGCUCUCAAUUAUGCAUAGUUUUAAAAGUCCAAGUUCCCAACCCAUUAUUGAUUAUGAUUAGAAUAAUGUAAUCGUCUCUUUCACAGUGUGGUCCCACUCACCAACUGCCACGUGGGUUGCGAAUCGAACCUUAUCCAUUCAAAUGCGGGUCCUGAUAUGGAUCCCCUUUGGAUCAGCUACUUUGUCUUAACAUGAUAAUAAUUGCAAUAGAUAAGGUUAACUUAAACCCACUUACUAAUCAGAUCGUUAGUAAACUACUCAAAUGAACAUGGAAUGAUACAAAAAGACAUUAUUUUAUUGAAUAACGAAGUUACUAGAGCAGAUUAUCACCCUAAACCACGGUAAAUCUGGCUUUUACACAAGACCAAUCAACCAUAUAUCAUAUAUGGCAAGGUAAAAGUAGUGUAGUAGCUAGCUCAACUACAACAACAUACUCUUCAUUAGGCACUGAGCUUAAGUGCUUUAACACAAAACCAAAGCCUGUUUAGAUAGUUGGAAAUGAAAAACGACGAACCCUAUUCACAAAACUCCACCGAAACCAACAACGUGGCAUACACUGAAAUGAAAAACGACACUAUUUACAUGCAACCCUCGAUAGAUCCUCAUCACUUGUCGCUAGCUUGUCACCUUAACGAUGAUGCUUGCUCCUCGUCUCUCCACUGUACAUCCUGUAAUGAUCAAAUAAGAAAUCCGAUCAGUAAGCCAAAACCUACAACGUUGGAUCAAAAUAUGGUACACAUCUGAACCCAACAGCCAGAUCAAAGGCGUUGAACACCAGAUCGAUCAAGAUCUUCAACCAUAAACUAGUGCAUAGAUCUACAUGUUAGUUUGCAUGGAUGGAACUAUGGAAGUGAUCGACCGUGAUACGUACCAGUCAUAGACAGUGGGAGAGUUUGGCUGUGGGCUAUCAAACACCUGGUUUCCCAUCGUCUUGCUAGACAGGUUGCUACCUGGGUGGAACACACUCCUCCAUACGUUGUCCUUGCGCGCCGAUAUCGGCGUUGUUGGGGUCACCGGCGUCGUCGGCGUCGUUGGCGUCGUCGGCAUCGUGAUCUUGCUCGACUCUCCCUCAUCUACACCACCACGCAUCAGAUAUAAUUAAUCAUCAAAACCCAGCCACAAAGCAAAUCAACGAUCGACUUUAAGAAUAUGAAGCACACACUAACCUUUGAGGUUCAAGGGCUGAGGGACCUUCCUGAGCAUGCCGAGACCACGUUCAGGCUGAGGUCCAGCUACUAUGUCAUCCCAAAGCUUGUCUAGCAGAACCAUCUUUGCUCUGAACUCUUUCUUUCUUUCUCGAUCUCUUCCUUUUUAGUGU